GAGAAGACACGUUUAGCAGUCAGAAAUAUUGUACUGUAGUAGCUUUAAAUUACAUUCCUGGGGGAAUGCACUUUUUAAAGUUAUCAUGGUGUGUGAUGUUCAUCUCCAGAUCUGUGGACUGAUGAAUUCUCCAAACUUUUAAGUACCACUCCCUUCAUGUGCUUCCUGCUCCUCUUGAUUCCCACAAGUCUAACUACGAAACCAAACUUCCCACCUUCAGCACACUAGCCACAGUUGGGCUAGGGUUCUUCCACUAUGCUCACAUUAUUUCCUGCCCAGUGUGGACUGAGGUCACUCCUCAGGUUGUUCCUCCGUAUUCUGGUAUGCGGCGACAGAGAUGGCGCUGUAGGGGUUCAGGACCAUCUGGGCACAGCGCACUAUGGUGAACAGCAGGAAGGAACACAGUAGAAAGACAAAGAAGAGAGCAAAGCCCAGGUCCACGUCCACCUCCAUCCUGGCCACCGGCAGGAGAGGAGGGUCCAUGACUUAUCGUAUCCAAUUGAGGCUGAUGCAGACUGACAAAGGGUCCAGCCCUCUCUCUCUCUCUCUCUCUCUCUCUCUCUCUCUCUCUCCCCUCUCUCUCUCUCUCUCUUAUUUGCAUAGGGUUGAUGUACUCUCCACUUGUGUGAGUGUCUCUCUAGUGGCAUCAGAGUACAGGAAGCAAUCUGCAUCUUUUUGGUCAGGAUCAGUUUCCACCACCGUCUCAAGUGAAUUGCCACCAAGGCAUCAUAUCCUUUUUCAAUUCCUCUACCUUUAUUUUGUCCUGAUCAGCUUUUCUUUCAUUUUGAUUGUUUUGGUUUGUUGUCAAACUAAGUCUAUAUUCAAUUUCAAUUCAAUUCAAUUCAAGGGCUUUAUUGGCAUGGGAAACAUGUGUUAACAUUGCCAAAGCAAGUGAGGUAGAUAAUAUAUAAAGUGAAUAUAUAACAAUAAAAAUUAGCAGUAAACAUUACACAUACAGAAGUUUCAAAACAAUAAAGAAAUUACAAAUGUCAUAUUAUAUAUAUACAGUGUUUUAACAAUGUACAAAUGGUAAAGGACACAAGAUAAAAUAAAUAAGC
ensembl:lncRNA